rnacentral:rRNA from 1 species
UACGUAGGUGGCAAGCGUUGUCCGGAUUUAUUGGGUUUAAAGGGUGCGUAGGCGGUUUCAUAAGUCAGUGGUGAAAUACGGCAGCUCAACUGUCGAGGUGCCAUUGAUACUGUGAGACUUGAGUACAGACGAGGUAGGCGGAAUUGACGGUGUAGCGGUGAAAUGCUUAGAUAUCGUCAAGAACACCGAUAGCGAAGGCAGCUUACUAGGCUGUAACUGACGCUGAGGCACGAAAGUGUGGGGAGCAAACAGG